CGCACAUUGCGCCCCUUGGCAUUCCGAGGGGCAUGCCCGUUCGAGCGUCAUUAAAUCCAAUCAAGCCUGGCUUGGUAUUGGGCGUCGGGAUCACCCCGCGCCUCAAUUUCGUCGGCAGCCCGUUGGCCCAAUAUUAACCGUGUUGUGACCUUUGUAUUUCACGCUUUGAGGGGCGGGCCACGCCGUUAACGGGCCACGCCGUUAAACGUUCAAUAAAAUUGAUUAAGGUUGACCUCGGAUCGGGUAGGAAUACCCGCUGAACUUAA
rnacentral:misc_RNA from 1 species